UACGUAGGGGGCGAGCGUUGUCCGGAAUCAUUGGGCGUAAAGCGCGUGUAGGCGGCCCGGUAAGUCCGCUGUGAAAGUCCAGGGCUCAACCCUGGGGAUGCCGGUGGAUACUGUCGGGCUCGAGUCCGGAAGAGGCGAGUGGAAUUCCUGGUGUAGCAGUGAAAUGCGCAGAUAUCAGGAGGAACACCAAUGGCGAAGGCAGCUCGCUGGGACGUGACUGACGCUGAGACGCGAAAGCGUGGGGAGCAAACAGG
rnacentral:rRNA from 1 species